GACGAACGCUGGCGGCGCGCUUAACACAUGCAAGUCGAGCGAUGAAAUCUUAACAGAACCCUUCGGGGUGAAGAUAAGACGGAUUAGCGGCGGACGGGUGAGUAACACGUGAGUAACCUGCCUUUUACACAGGGAUAGCCUCGGGAAACCGGGAAUUAAAACCUGAUGAAACUAUCAAAUCACAUGAUUAAGAAAGUUAAAACUCCGGUGGUAAAAGAUGGACUCGCGUCCCAUUAGCUAGUUGGUGAAGGUAACGGCCCACCAAGGCAACGAUGGGUAGCCGGCCUGAGAGGGUGAACGGCCACAUUGGAACUGAGAAACGGUCCAA
rnacentral:rRNA from 1 species